rnacentral:rRNA from 1 species
GGAAUCGCUAGUAAUCGCGAAUCAGCAUGUCGCGGUGAAUACGUUCCCGGGUCUUGUACACACCGCCCGUCACACCAUGGGAGUUGGUAACGCCCGAAGUCAGUGACCCAACCUUAGGGAGGGAGCUGCCGAAGGCGGGACUGAUAACUGGGGUGAAGUCGUAACAAGGUACC